rnacentral:rRNA from 1 species
AUACGGAGGGACCAAGCGUUGUUCGGAAUUAUUGGGCGUAAAGCGGGUGUAGGCGGCCAAGUAAGUCGGAUGUGAAAGCCCUGGGCUCAACCCAGGAACUGCAUUCGAAACUGCUUGACUAGAGUCUCGGAGAGGGUGGCGGAAUUCCCGGUGUAGCGGUGGAAUGCGUAGAUAUCGGGAGGAACACCAGUGGCGAAGGCGGCGCCCUGGCCCUGGCCUGACGCUGAGGUGCGAAAGCGUGGGGAGCGAACGGGAUUAGAAACCCCAGUAGUCC